UGUCAACUGUUGUGACAUAUGCAUUGCUGCCAUUAUCUUAGUUCCAAUAUCAAUUAUUAGAAGUUAUUUAUUUUGUUUAUCAUGUCACAUGACAGGUAUUUCCUGUUGCUCAAAAGGAAUUUUGUGGAUUCAAUCCUUUUACAAGUAUGAACUCUCUCUCAUCUCUGGUCUUGAACUUGUUUGAGCGAGCUUGAAUACCCACUUUUCCUUUAUUCCUCGUAUCUCUUCCUUUAUUUUGGGUGCAAAAUAUACUAAACUGACGUGUUCAUGUUGUGCAGCAUUUGUGUGCUAUAGAAUUAUUUUAUANNNNNNNNNNNNNNNNNNNNNNNNNNUCUACACAAACUUAUAAGCUAUGUGGUUUGGUACAUCUCUCACUCUUCAUUCUCAAACAUAGGAAAUUCACACAAAGGUUCAAGUUAUUGACAUCUAUCUAGUCUCUUUUUAAUCCACACAAAGGUAAGCUCAAAUAUGCCUAUUUUGUCAAAUAACUUAUAAAAAUUAGUUUUGAUAAUAAUGUCUGUCUUGUAUUUGAUAACAUACCUUAAUUAAGAUAGUAAUGUGUUUACAAAUUAGUCUCAUCUGAUAUUUAGAUUUGGUUGGGUUGUUUAGUGUCAUGUUAUUUUGCAUUUGAAUUAUAUCUCUCAAUGCUACUACAUAUAUAGACCCUUAGUAAGUUGAUUAAUAUGUUUGAAUUAUAUCUUUCGUGAUUUUAGGCUUUACAAAAUGCUGCUUAUAAAGCUGAUUGGUAUGUUCUCAAUAUAGUGUGCAAUAUGUCACAAUCUACGGAAGUUGUUCAUGAGGUAAUUUUCCCCAAAUCCUAAGUAUUGUUGUCUCUUUUUAUGUAAACCUUUAUGUCACAAUCUAUUUAAAUUAGUUCACCUUUAAUGAACUUUUUCCUAACAGUGUUGGAAGAACUUCACAUGUCUAUAUAACUGGUUUAUAUAGAAUUGAAAGAGUUUGCAACUCUGCAUCAAUAUACUUUGUUGGAACUGAAGUUUUACAUUGACAAAAGUAUUUACUGACUAGACGUUCACAUUUGAUCAUAUUCAAUUUUAGAGCCAAAAGCAACAAAUAGUUAUGAGUGCAGCUAUUAUGUCAUGAUACACAUGUUGAACAUUGUAUCUACUGGUGUUGUUGGUUCAUGGACCUAA
rnacentral:lncRNA from 1 species